rnacentral:ncRNA from 11 species
UGUAAACAUCCUUGACUGGAAGC